ACGGGAGGCAGCAGUGGGGAAUAUUGGGCAAUGGAGGAAACUCUUACCCAGCAAUGCCGCGUGAGUGAAGAAGGUCUUCGGAUUGUAAAGCUCUUUGAUUGGGGACGAAACAAAUGACGGUACCCAAAGAACAAGCCCCGGCUAACUACGUGCCAGCAGCCGCGGUAAUACGUAGGGGGCAAGCGUUGUUCGGAAUGACUGGGCGUAAAGGGUGUGUAGGUGGUCAAUCAAGUUGGAAGUGUAAUACCCAGGGCUUAACCCGGGUGCUGCUUCCAAAACUGAUAGACUUGAGUGCAGUAGAGGAAAGUGGAAUUCCUAGUGUAGCGGUGGAAUGCGUAGAUAUUAGGAGGAACACCAGUGGCGAAGGCGGCUUUCUGGACUGUAACUGACACUGAGGCACGAAAGCGUGGGUAGCAAACAGGAUUAGAUACCCUGGUA
rnacentral:rRNA from 2 species